rnacentral:rRNA from 1 species
UACGUAGGUGGCAAGCGUUGUCCGGAUUUACUGGGCGUAAAGAGCGCGCAGGCGGUCGAUCAAGUCGAGUGUGAAAGCCCCCGGCUCAACUGGGGAGGGUCAUUCGAUACUGAUCGACUCGAAGGCAGGAGAGGGUAGUGGAAUUCCCGGUGUAGCAGUGAAAUGCGUAGAGAUGUGGAGGAACACCGAUGGCGAAGGCAGCCCCCCUGGGCUGAGAUUGACGCUCAGGCACGAAAGCGUGGGGAGCAAACAGG